CAAACGACUCUCGGCAACGGAUAUCUCGGCUCAUGCAUCGAUGAAGAACGUAGCGAAAUGCGAUACUUGGUGUGAAUUGCAGAAUCACGUGAACCAUCGAGUUUUUGAACGCAAGUUGCGCCCGAAGCCAUUCGGCCGAGGGCACGUCUGCCUGGGCGUCACAC
rnacentral:rRNA from 2 species